CCUUAUAUAGCUAAUUGUGUAAGUGCCAGGUUCUUACCCUGGUGAUGUGGCUAAAGUCACUAUAAGGG
rnacentral:tRNA from 1 species